CGGAGGGGGCUAGCGUUGUUCGGAAUUACUGGGCGUAAAGCGCACGUAGGCGGCUUUGUAAGUUAGAGGUGAAAGCCCGGGGCUCAACUCCGGAAUUGCCUUUAAGACUGCAUCGCUAGAAUUGUGGAGAGGUAAGUGGAAUUCCGAGUGUAGAGGUGAAAUUCGUAGAUAUUCGGAAGAACACCAGUGGCGAAGGCGACUUACUGGACACAUAUUGACGCUGAGGUGCGAAGGCGUGGGGAGCAAACAGG
rnacentral:rRNA from 1 species